rnacentral:rRNA from 1 species
ACGGAAGGCAGCAGUGGGGAAUAUUGCACAAUGGGCGAAAGCCUGAUGCAGCGACGCCGCGUGAGUGAUGAAGUAUUUCGGUAUGUAAAGCUCUAUCAGCAGGGAAGAUAAUGACGGUACCUGACUAAGAAGCACCGGCUAAAUACGUGCCAGCAGCCGCGGUAAUACGUAUGGUGCAAGCGUUAUCCGGAUUUACUGGGUGUAAAGGGAGCGCAGGCGGUACGGCAAGUCUGAUGUGAAAGCCCGGGGCUCAACCCCGGUACUGCAUUGGAAACUGUCGAACUAGUGUGUCGGAGGGGUAAGUGGAAUUCCUAGUGUAGCGGUGAAAUGCGUAGAUAUUAGGAGGAACACCAGUGGCGAAGGCGACUUACUGGACGAUAACUGACGCUGAGGCUCGAAAGCGUGGGGAGCAAACAGGAUUAGAUACCCUGGUA